CCUACGGGGGGCUGCAGUGGGGAAUAUUGGACAAUGGGGGGAACCCUGAUCCAGCCAUGCCGCGUGUGUGAAGAAGGCCCUCGGGUUGUAAAGCACUUUCAGUGAGGAAGAACGCCUGGUGGUUAAUACCCAUCAGGAAAGACAUCACUCACAGAAGAAGCACCGGCUAACUCCGUGCCAGCAGCCGCGGUAAUACGGAGGGUGCGAGCGUUAAUCGGAAUUACUGGGCGUAAAGCGCGCGUAGGUGGCUUGAUAAGCCGGUUGUGAAAGCCCCGGGCUCAACCUGGGAACGGCAUCUGGAACUGUCAAGCUAGAGUGCAGGAGAGGAAGGUAGAAUUCCCGGUGUAGCGGUGAAAUGCGUAGAGAUCGGGAGGAAUACCAGUGGCGAAGGCGGCCUUCUGGACUGACACUGACACUGAGGUGCGAAAGCGUGGGUAGCAAACAGGAUUAGAUACCCCUGUAGUC
rnacentral:rRNA from 1 species